GAUGAACGCUGGCGGCGUGCCUAAUACAUGCAAGUCGAGCGAACGGACGAGAAGCUUGCUUCUCUGAUGUUAGCGGCGGACGGGUGAGUAACACGUGGAUAACCUACCUAUAAGACUGGGAUAACUUCGGGAAACCGGAGCUAAUACCGGAUAAUAUUUUGAACCGCAUGGUUCAAAAGUGAAAGACGGUCUUGCUGUCACCUAUAGAUGGAUCCGCGCUGCAUUAGCUAGUUGGUAAGGUAACGGCUUACCAAGGCAACGAUGCAUAGCCGACCUGAGAGGGUGAUCGGCCACACUGGAACUGAGACACGGUCCAGACUCCUACGGGAGGCAGCAGUAGGGAAUCUUCUGCAAUGGGCGAAAGCCUGACGGAGCAACGCCGCGUGAGUGAUGAAGGUCUUCGGAUCGUAAAACUCUGUUAUUAGGGAAGAACAUAUGUGUAAGUAACUGUGCACAUCUUGACGGUACCUAAUCAGAAAGCCACGGCUAACUACGUG
rnacentral:rRNA from 1 species